rnacentral:rRNA from 1 species
UACGGGGGGGGCGAGCGUUGUUCGGAAUUACUGGGCGUAAAGGGCGCGUAGGCGGUUUGCUAAGUUAGAUGUGAAAACUCUGGGCUCAACCCAGAGCCUGCAUCUAAAACUGGCAGGCUAGAGUUCUGGAGGGGGUAGCGGAAUUCCUGGUGUAGCGGUGAAAUGCGUAGAUAUCAGGAGGAACACCGGUGGCGAAGGCGGCUACCUGGACAGAAACUGACGCUGAGGCGCGAAAGCUAGGGGAGCAAACAGG